UGGUUUUACCUUUUCCGGGAGUCUCCAGCUGGCCCUCAUUUGUGUCCGGAGCUCAGGAGUUCCCAAACCGACUCAGUCGCACCAAGUUUCCGUCUUUUGGAAUUGGGGAAGGAGUUUCUUUCUUUCUUUUCUUUUUUCUUGAGCCAGUUUUAAUCGCUUUGAAUAAAUACUCCCUUAAGUAGUUAAAUAUAGGAGGAGAAAGAAUACAUCGGUUGUUAAAGCAGGAGAGGAAGAGAGACCUGCCCUGUAGCGUGACUCCUCUAGAAAAAAAAAAAAAAAGCCGGAGUAUUUUACUAAGCCCCUAAAAUGUCGAGAUUUGUACAAGAUCUUAGCAAAGCAAUGUCUCAAGAUGGUGCUUCUCAGUUCCAAGAAGUCAUUCGGCAAGAGCUAGAAUUAUCUGUGAAGAAGGAACUAGAAAAAAUACUCACCACAGCAUCAUCACAUGAAUUUGAGCACACCAAAAAAGACCUGGAUGGAUUUCGGAAGCUAUUUCAUAGAUUUUUGCAAGAAAAGGGGCCUUCUGUGGAUUGGGGAAAAAUCCAGAGACCCCCUGAAGAUUCGGCUGGU
rnacentral:lncRNA from 10 species